rnacentral:rRNA from 1 species
GAUGAACGCUGGCGGCGUGCUUAACACAUGCAAGUCGAACGAAACCCCUUUUUUGAUUUUCUUCGGAACUGAAGAUUUGGUGAUUGAGUGGCGGACGGGUGAGUAACUCGUGGGUAACCUGCCCUGUACAGGGGGAUAACAGUCUGAAAUGACUGCUAAUCCCGCAUAAGACCACAGCACUGCUUGGUGCAGGGGUAAAAUCUCCGGUGGUACAGGAUGGACCCGCGUCUGAUUAGCUGGUUGGUGCGGUAACGGCGCACCAAGGCGACGAUCAGUAGCCGGGAUGAGAGAGUGAACCGCCACAAUGGGACUAGGACACGGCCCAGACUCCUACGGGAGGGAGGAGUGGGGGAUAUUGCACAAUCGCGGAAGCGCUGAAGCAGCGACGCCGCGUGAGUGAAGAAGUUGGUCGGUAAGAAAAGCACGAUCAGAAGGGGAGAAAAUGACGGUACCUGAAGAAGAAGCCCCGGCUAACUACGUG